rnacentral:rRNA from 1 species
AGCGAACGCUGGCGGCAGGCCUAACACAUGCACGUCGAACGAACCUUUCGGGGUUAGUGGCGGACGGGUGAGUAACACGUGGGAACGUGCCUUUAGGUUCGGAAUAACUCAGGGAAACUUGUGCUAAUACCGAAUGUGCCCUUCGGGGGAAAGAUUUAUCGCCUUUAGAGCGGCCCGCGUCUGAUUAGCUAGUUGGUUGAGGUAAUGGCUCACCAAGGCGACGAUCAGUAGCUGGUCUGAGAGGAUGAUCAGCCACAUUGGGACUGAGACACGGCCCAAACUCCUACGGGAGGCAGCAGUGGGGAAUCUUGCGCAAUGGGCGAAAGCCUGACGCAGCCAUGCCGCGUGAAUGAUGAAGGUCUUAGGAUUGUAAAAUUCUUUCACCGGGGACGAUAAUGACGGUACCCGGAGAAGAAGCCCCGGCUAACUUCGUG